rnacentral:rRNA from 1 species
GGGUUGUGAGGUUAAGCGACUAAGCGUACACGGUGGAUGCCCUGGCAGUCAGAGGCGAUGAAGGACGUGCUAAUCUGCGAUAAGCGUCGGUAAGGUGAUAUGAACCGUUAUAACCGGCGAUUUCCGAAUGGGGAAACCCAGUGUGUUUCGACACACUAUCAUUAACUGAAUCCAUAGGUUAAUGAGGCGAACCGGGGGAACUGAAACAUCUAAGUACCCCGAGGAAAAGAAAUCAACCGAGAUUCCCCCAGUAGCGGCGAGCGAACGGGGAGCAGCCCAGAGUCUGAAUCAGUGUGUGUGUUAGUGGAAGCGUCUGGAAAGGCGCGCGAUACAGGGUGACAGCCCCGUACACAAAAAUGCACAUGCUGUGAGCUCGAUGAGUAGGGCGGGACACGUGGUAUCCUGUCUGAAUAUGGGGGGACCAUCCUCCAAGGCUAAAUACUCCUGACUGACCGAUAGUGAACCAGUACCGUGAGGGAAAGGCGAAAAGAACCCCGGCGAGGGGAGUGAAAAAGAACCUGAAACCGUGUACGUACAAGCAGUGGGAGCACGCUUAGGCGUGUGACUGCGUACCUUUUGUAUAAUGGGUCAGCGACUUAUAUUCUGUAGCAAGGUUAACCGAAUAGGGGAGCCGAAGGGAAACCGAGUCUUAACUGGGCGUUAAGUUGCAGGGUAUAGACCCGAAACCCGGUGAUCUAGCCAUGGGCAGGUUGAAGGUUGGGUAACACUAACUGGAGGACCGAACCGACUAAUGUUGAAAAAUUAGCGGAUGACUUGUGGCUGGGGGUGAAAGGCCAAUCAAACCGGGAGAUAGCUGGUUCUCCCCGAAAGCUAUUUAGGUAGCGCCUCGUGAAUUCAUCUCCGGGGGUAGAGCACUGUUUCGGCAAGGGGGUCAUCCCGACUUACCAACCCGAUGCAAACUGCGAAUACCGGAGAAUGUUAUCACGGGAGACACACGGCGGGUGCUAACGUCCGUCGUGAAGAGGGAAACAACCCAGACCGCCAGCUAAGGUCCCAAAGUCAUGGUUAAGUGGGAAACGAUGUGGGAAGGCCCAGACAGCCAGGAUGUUGGCUUAGAAGCAGCCAUCAUUUAAAGAAAGCGUAAUAGCUCACUGGUCGAGUCGGCCUGCGCGGAAGAUGUAACGGGGCUAAACCAUGCACCGAAGCUGCGGCAGCGACGCUUAUGCGUUGUUGGGUAGGGGAGCGUUCUGUAAGCCUGUGAAGGUGUGCUGUGAGGCAUGCUGGAGGUAUCAGAAGUGCGAAUGCUGACAUAAGUAACGAUAAAGCGGGUGAAAAGCCCGCUCGCCGGAAGACCAAGGGUUCCUGUCCAACGUUAAUCGGGGCAGGGUGAGUCGACCCCUAAGGCGAGGCCGAAAGGCGUAGUCGAUGGGAAACAGGUUAAUAUUCCUGUACUUGGUGUUACUGCGAAGGGGGGACGGAGAAGGCUAUGUUGGCCGGGCGACGGUUGUCCCGGUUUAAGCGUGUAGGCUGGUUUUCCAGGCAAAUCCGGAAAAUCAAGGCUGAGGCGUGAUGACGAGGCACUACGGUGCUGAAGCAACAAAUGCCCUGCUUCCAGGAAAAGCCUCUAAGCAUCAGGUAACAUCAAAUCGUACCCCAAACCGACACAGGUGGUCAGGUAGAGAAUACCAAGGCGCUUGAGAGAACUCGGGUGAAGGAACUAGGCAAAAUGGUGCCGUAACUUCGGGAGAAGGCACGCUGAUAUGUAGGUGAAGUCCCUCGCGGAUGGAGCUGAAAUCAGUCGAAGAUACCAGCUGGCUGCAACUGUUUAUUAAAAACACAGCACUGUGCAAACACGAAAGUGGACGUAUACGGUGUGACGCCUGCCCGGUGCCGGAAGGUUAAUUGAUGGGGUUAGCGCAAGCGAAGCUCUUGAUCGAAGCCCCGGUAAACGGCGGCCGUAACUAUAACGGUCCUAAGGUAGCGAAAUUCCUUGUCGGGUAAGUUCCGACCUGCACGAAUGGCGUAAUGAUGGCCAGGCUGUCUCCACCCGAGACUCAGUGAAAUUGAACUCGCUGUGAAGAUGCAGUGUACCCGCGGCAAGACGGAAAGACCCCGUGAACCUUUACUAUAGCUUGACACUGAACAUUGAGCCUUGAUGUGUAGGAUAGGUGGGAGGCUUUGAAGUGUGGACGCCAGUCUGCAUGGAGCCGACCUUGAAAUACCACCCUUUAAUGUUUGAUGUUCUAACGUUGACCCGUAAUCCGGGUUGCGGACAGUGUCUGGUGGGUAGUUUGACUGGGGCGGUCUCCUCCUAAAGAGUAACGGAGGAGCACGAAGGUUGGCUAAUCCUGGUCGGACAUCAGGAGGUUAGUGCAAUGGCAUAAGCCAGCUUGACUGCGAGCGUGACGGCGCGAGCAGGUGCGAAAGCAGGUCAUAGUGAUCCGGUGGUUCUGAAUGGAAGGGCCAUCGCUCAACGGAUAAAAGGUACUCCGGGGAUAACAGGCUGAUACCGCCCAAGAGUUCAUAUCGACGGCGGUGUUUGGCACCUCGAUGUCGGCUCAUCACAUCCUGGGGCUGAAGUAGGUCCCAAGGGUAUGGCUGUUCGCCAUUUAAAGUGGUACGCGAGCUGGGUUUAGAACGUCGUGAGACAGUUCGGUCCCUAUCUGCCGUGGGCGCUGGAGAACUGAGGGGGGCUGCUCCUAGUACGAGAGGACCGGAGUGGACGCAUCACUGGUGUUCGGGUUGUCAUGCCAAUGGCACUGCCCGGUAGCUAAAUGCGGAAGAGAUAAGUGCUGAAAGCAUCUAAGCACGAAACUUGCCCCGAGAUGAGUUCUCCCUGACUCCUUGAGAGUCCUGAAGGAACGUUGAAGACGACGACGUUGAUAGGCCGGGUGUGUAAGCGCAGCGAUGCGUUGAGCUAACCGGUACUAAUGAACCGUGAGGCUUAACCUUACAACGCCGAAG